rfam:Ictidomys tridecemlineatus contig081956, whole genome shotgun sequence.
GGAGUUGUGGCUCAGCGGUAGAGUGCUUGCCUAGCAUGUUCGAGGACCUGAGUUCGAUUCUUAGCACCACUU